ensembl:lncRNA
AUUUGCUUUGUGCCCCAGUUGCUUCCAAUAAAUACAAUGGGACCACUACUGGUUUUAUUGAUUUCUCCACUGUAAAAUGAGAUUGUGGUAAAGGAGUAACUUCAAGCAUACUUAGACCCUUAACCUUCUUCUUCAAUGAUUUAGUUUUGUAAAUUAGCUUGCCGCAUUAUGAGUGGCUCUGAGACUUUCGUAGUACUGCUUUGAUUGUUCUUCUCUGCCGCAUUAUGAGUGACUCUGAGACUUUCGUAGUACUGCUUUGAUUGUUCUUCUCUCCAUGCCUCCUUCCCUCAUCCCUGCCCAUCUUUGAUGUCAUGUGUAAUCCUAUUACUCCCUGUUUCUCCCCUUCCCAGGCCCUCCUUUAAGACCCCAUUUUCCUUCUCAUGGUCCUCUUUCUAUAAAAUUGGUGGUUUAUAAAUGUGAUGAUUGUUCAGGGUUCUUGUAGACUUGGACAUCUAUUUAAAAUACAACCACUUUAGCAUCAUUUGAUGCUACGUGAAAACCAAGAAUAUAACACGAUUUCAAGUACUCCACAUACACAAAGUCAAAGGGAUGGGAAAUGAUGAAAGGAAAAGCAGUAGUCAUAUAGUUAAUUUGGGUCUCGAUGAGGAGACAAUGGGUCUCUAGUCUCACCAUCUCUGUGACGUUGCUUUCACAUCCCGAUAGGGACAUAUAGAACUCUCCAGCAUCACGCCUGCCUGCAUUCUGCCAUAGGAACAUCCUUCCAUGAUAAAGAUCUCUAGAGAAAAAAUUGCCCUCAGCUUUUGGUUCUCAUACAUCUUAUGUCCUAAGGGGAUAUGUACGAGCAGAUGCGAUGCCUUAAUCGUCCUGUGGAGCCUUCCUCAGAUCUGAGUUUAGCAUCACCUCAGUGUCUAUGUGAAGGGGUGAGUCUCUCUGAAGUAGUGAAUCUUAGGCGUGUUUGGGUCUAACAUGGAGUCAAAGCAUGUGUGAUGUAGAGCUGAACCUGGUGGGAGCAGUCGAGCCCGUGUCUGGUGGUGGGAGUGGUGGUGGGGAGCUUGCUUGCUUGCAUUUCGGAGGAAUGUGGCUUCGGGUUCUUACCUGCGCGGUUCCGGCACAUGGGGAGUGGCGUGCGCGCUGCCAGGUGCGCUCCGUGGCGCUGCCGGGGCGGGCGGAGCGGCGAGAGACCAGCAGGAGCGCCGCCCGGGGCGGUUUGGUUGCGACACCCGCCCAGCUGGGAAUUUCCGCUCCGUGGUCCCGGCGCGCUCCUCGUGAUUCCCCUGACCGCUGCAGGUUUUUAUGUUAGAGAUGCUUGACAUUAACUCUUCAAUUAAGUCACCCCAAAAUCUGAAAACUUCCAGCAUCUAAAUAAUUUCUGGUCCCAUGGGUUUCAGGUAAGGGCUACUCAGUCUGUUGUUGUUGUGUGGUCUUUGACUGUAACAAAAUCACUAGUGACAAAUGGGCAGAUACUAGACAUGGUGUUCACCAUGUGGUUGCAGAACUUCUUUGAGUGGCUGUUGUGAGCAAUGCUGUGAAGGAAUGGGGGACAGGGAGCCCCAUCACCAUUAUUACUGCCAAAAGGAUUUUAUAGAAUUUAUUUUAUGAGCACAGAAAGUUAAAUUAUCAAGAACAUCAGUUACAAGCCAGGCGUCAUUAACACACACCUAUAACCCCAGCAUUUGGGAGGUGGGGGCAGAGGGAUCAGGACUUCAAGGUCAGUCUUGGCUAAAUAGUGAACUUGAGGUCAGCCAACUGCAUAAGACCUUGUCUGAUAAAAACAAAAGUAGAGCAACUAUAAAACUGUUAAGUAGGAAACCAAUGUAUGGAUUUCUUGUGUUGAUGAGUAAAUUAAAAAGGAAUUAGCAUUUACCAGAGACAGCUAUAUGCCAGACAUGAUUAUAUCUGGGAUGCAUUCUGUUACUUGGUUCAGUUUAUUCUGUGAUUUACCCUUCUUUAAGAUGGAAAUGAACAGUAUUUGAGGGCUAGAGUCUCACUUAUUUUCUUCACAUGAAAGUCAUUUGCCCUUUUUUUCAGUGCUAUAACUGAAGUUCAGAAAGAUGGGAUGCUUGAACCAUGGACAGGCACUCAGACAAACAGUUGGCUUUUCUUGAGUGUAAAGUGCAGUGCAGCUUGUUCAAAAGUCUGUGUUCUUCUGUUUUCUUUAGUUAUUUUGAUGCAGGGUCUUUAACUUGUUUUCUAGGCUGGCCUGGACCUUUCAGUCCUCCUGACUUGGGUUCUCAAGUGCUGUGACUCAGACAUGCCUUAUCACACCAGGUGUUUGUUCUUAUGUCUACCCCGCACUGGCUCCUGCUGCCAGAGUAACACUAAGCAGGUCUGAUCUGAAGGACAUUGGUACACUCCUGGGAAAUUGUGUUGUCAUAAUAAAUUACAAGUAAAAGACA